UACAGAGGUCCCAAGCGUUGUUCGGAUUCAUUGGGCGUAAAGGGUGCGUAGGUGGCGCUGUAAGUCGGGUGUGAAAUCCUGAGGCUUAACCUCGGAACUGCAUUCGAUACUGCGGCGCUUGAGGACUGGAGAGGAGACUGGAAUUCAUGGUGUAGCAGUGAAAUGCGUAGAGAUCAUGAGGAAGACCAGUGGCGAAGGCGGGUCUCUGGACAGUUCCUGACACUGAGGCACGAAGGCCAGGGGAGCAAACGGG
rnacentral:rRNA from 1 species